UUUUUAAUUUCAGGAAUUUUUACUUGGUGACAGUACAAAAGCCAAGGAGGUUAUGGGAUGGGUGCCAAAGGUUUCAUUUGAGGAACUAGUAAAAGAAAUGGUGGAGGCUGAUAUUAAUCUGAUGAAGAAGAAUCCAACUGCCUAGGUGGUAGUCAAGAAUACUAGACACAACUUGUAUCAGCAUACGAGUGAACCAGACAAUUAGGAAUGAUGUGCACUUACACUAGGCACAAACACCAGAAAUAAUGAUGUAUGUAGGAAAGGGAAAGAUAGAAAGGGAAUAGAUUCACUAAAUAAACAACAGAAAACAACACAGUAUCAAAAACAGAAAACAACACAUAACCCAUACUAUUCCACUCUAUCAUCAGAAACAACUCACUAUUAUCAACAAAAAGAGAAAACGCAGAAUCCAUAAAUAAUGGAAACAACUAUAUUACAGUAACACUUAAACUUAAAAGAACACAAUGGACAACAUGUAACAAAAUUUUUAAUUUUAAUAAAUACACACAAAAUAUAUAUAAUUUGGUUUGAAUUUGCUACUAUCGAAUAUAUAAGAUAAAAUUAAAAAUGGAGGAAAAAAUAUUCCAUUUAUCCAAGUAUUCACACUUCAAGAAACAACAGACAAAUUAAUGUUAGACACAACAAGAAACAGCACACAGGAAAUAUUCAGCACAAAACAUGGAAUGAUAAAGUUUUUCAAUGUCAGAAUAAAACAUAAAAUAAAUGCUGCAGUGAAAUAAAAUUGAAUAUGAAAACGUAUUAUUAGUAUUAUAUUUAAUGAUAUUUAUUUGACUAAAUAAAACAAGAAGACAAUGGUACAUCCAGCUUAAUCACUCUACAGUAUAACUCCAAAGAGAUAGCUGCUCCACAUUUACAAUAACUUAUACUAACAAUAAGAAUAAUAAAUUACUUUAUUUUUUUUUAUUGAUAGUUAAUUUAUUAUUGUUCUUAAUAUUAUUGAAAUAAAAAAUUAUCUGGUUUCAAAAUAUUAGUAUACAAGUAAAUAAAACAAAUCAAUACAUACUAAAAAAUAACAUGUAACCCAUGUGAUAGCAUAGUGCAACAAUUGUCAACGUACUACUUGAAAACCUUUUUAAACAGUAUUUAAAGUGUUUACCUCAAUCAGUUAGUAGUGGUGGGCUGCACUUACGAAAAAUGUAGUUAUGAUAUAAUUAAUCCUGUGAAAUUAUGUUUUACUGAAAUGAAUUUGACAAAAAAAUUAAACUUGUCUUUGAUAGAGCUGACAUGUGACUUUAACUUAAAUAUUUAUAUAAAUUUUGCCUUGAGUUUUAAAAAUCAGAAAUGUAGGCCAGGUCAUUAAAAAAGUUCCACUAAUGACAAAACUGGAUGUGAUUACAACAUUGAAUUAUCUUGCAUUAAAAAAACAAUACAAUUUCUACAAGAAAAUAUCAGAUGUAGACUUUGAAUGUACCAUGUCAAAACACAUUAACUUUUCCUAGUACAAAUUUUGCACAUGUUCAAAAUCGGUGGUAUAUUGUUUGGAUGAAAUACAAACUGCAAUGCAAAUAUAAUUAUAUAUUGCUAUAACAAAGGUAAUGUAUUUACUAAGUAUUUGAUUGUAUAUAAUAGUUAUGAAGGUGCAUGCAUUAUUAUUAUAAGUGUCAUGUUGGGGCCUGUUAGUUUCCACUGAUUAAGACAAAAUUUAGUGACUGAAAUCCAGUCUAACCAAAAAAAUGGGCAAUGUGCAUUUCCCACCUUAAUUUCCAGUGCCAACAUUUUUAAAAAUCAUUUGAAUGGUUGCGUAAUAUUCUUAUCAACGGAAAUUGUAAAUUUUUGGAGAGAAUUUCUGGUACUGUAUUCAAAGUUUGUCAUUAAACCAGAUGUGUUUUGUGAAAUGUAAACACAGAUAGGUGUAACUAAUUUACAUUUGAUGACACUGAAUUUCUACUUGUGAAAGGGUAUUGGUUCACUUUAUUUUGGGAGAUCUUAAUUUGUUUGAAAGGUUGGCCACCCAUGAAGUACUGUGUGAUAGCUAGAACAAUCAUCAGAAAACUAAUGUCUUUGAAGUUUUUUUUUUUUUUUUUUUUUAAGACACCCUAAGAGUUGCACAAGUUAAUUCUGAUACUGAGACUCGUUGCUUUAGUUUCUACUUGUCAUAUAUUCAGGUUUUAGAAACUGCUACAUUUUAUAUUGUUAUUCUUAAGAUAGAAAGUGGAACAAAAGAAAUAGAAACUUAAAGAAAACAUCUCAUAAAUUCUUUUUUUAUGAAUAUGAAAACAUUUGCAUGUAUCUCAUUUUGUACUUUUUGGCUGUUUAUUCUGGUGUAUUAAACAAAUAUCUUGCAAAAAUGCUGAAAUCAGAUUGUACAUUUGAAAUACAAGUUGAUUAAAUAAUUUCAACAAAAUAUAAA